CGAGCGGCUGGAGUUGGGAGAUGUGGACGUGGGCGCUGCUGCAGUUGCUGCUGCUGGCGGGGCCGGCAGGCUGUCUGAGCCGCCAGGAGCUUUUCCCCUUCGGCCCUGGGCAGGGGGACCUAGAGCUGGAGGCCGGGGACGACGUGGUGUCCCCCUCCCUGGAACUGAUCGGAGAACUGAGCUUCUAUGAUCGUUCGGACAUCACGUCGGUCUAUGUCACCACAAAUGGGAUCAUCGCCAUGAGCGAGCCCCCAGCCACAGAAUUCCAUCCUGGAACCUUCCCACCCAGCUUCGGCUCAGUAGCACCUUUCCUGGCUGACUUGGACACA
rnacentral:lncRNA from 1 species